AUUAAACGGCUGAUGUGGGAUAUCUAGUCCAUGCUGCAAAAACAAACUGCUCCUUCCUGGCAUGCCGAUUAGCGGGGCGAGAGCCGCGUGAUGAGGAGAGAGGAGCUGGGCCUGGGAGCCAGCUUUCUCCAAAGCUGUGAAUGGAGGAUUAAGCUCAGGGAGCCGGGCAUGGACAGGUGCCCAGCCGAGAUGCAGAGCUUCCCAGGUACGUGCCCCAACUACAUCUGGCCCCGUUUCCCCCUCUUACUGUUUUUUUGGCUUUAUCAAAAUACCGCUGGGUUGAGAUUGUCAGAGGAGCUUCUGAGUUGGCAGCGGCCACCAUGAUUAGUCAUAUUGAAUUAUGCGUUGAGAAGAUGUCCCUGCAUCCGACGCGCGCACACAUGCAAGUUUAUUUCCUCCCCGAAUGCCCCUCGAACCACUCGUCCUGCAUUUAUGUUUGGUGACAAGAAGACGUGGAUGUGGGUAAACAGGAUUAUAGCCACGGUUCUGCUGUCACACACAUCUCAUAAUUCGCAUGCGUUCCUGACAGGCUUGGUGGCAUUUAAUGUUACCUAACAUUUGCCUUGGCGUGCGCCACAGACACAGGUGCAAAUGAGGGAAUCAGCCGGCGGUGAACAGUGAACGGCUACGAACUCAUUUUUAUUUUUCACAGGAAUCUGACUAUCGAAUAUGAUGCAUUCUUCACAACGCUCAAAUCACUUUGCUGUAUUGUUUCAGGCAGUCUGAAUAUUACAAUCGUCUUCAUUAAUUUUAUCUCGGACAUAAACUUUUAAUACGCCCACAAUCACAUGACUUCCAUGGCAGUUUAAAUGACUCUCCCCUGUAAUUACUGAUCCAGCACUCAAUUAAAAUAAUUUGAUUGAAAUUAUUCAGUGGUUUUAAAUACAAGCCUCAAGCUACAUAACAAUAUUCAGAGCUGUGACCGAGAACCAUGUUUCUGUUUAAGAGGAAAAAACAUGUUCUUAUCCAUAUGAUAACAG
ensembl:lncRNA